rnacentral:rRNA from 1 species
UGGGGAAUUUUGGACAAUGGGGGAAACCCUGUUCCAGCCAUCCCGCGUGUGCGAUGAAGGCCUUCGGGUUGUAAAGCACUUUUGGCAGGAAAGAAACGUCAUGGGUUAAUACCCCGUGAAACUGACGGUACCUGCAGAAUAAGCACCGGCUAACUACGUGCCAGCAGCCGCGGUAAUACGUAGGGUGCAAGCGUUAAUCGGAAUUACUGGGCGUAAAGCGUGCGCAGGCGGUUCGGAAAGAAAGAUGUGAAAUCCCAGAGCUUAACUUUGGAACUGCAUUUUUAACUACCGGGCUAGAGUGUGUCAGAGGGAGGUGGAAUUCCGCGUGUAGCAGUGAAAUGCGUAGAUAUGCGGAGGAACGCCGAUGGCGAAGGCAGCCUCCUGGGAUAACACUGACGCUCAUGCACGAAAGCGUGGGGAGCAAACA